AGCAGCCGCGGUAAUUCCAGCUCCAAUAGCGUAUAUUAAAGUUGUUGCAGUUAAAAAGCUCGUAGUUGAAUUUCGGGAUCAAUUAAUUGGUCGUGCCUAUGGUACGUACUGAUUUUAUUGGUUUCUCCCUUCUGACGAACCAUGAUGUCAUUAAUUUGGUGUCUUGGGGAAUCAGGACUGUUACUUUGAAAAAAUCAGAGUGUUUAAAGCAGGCUCGCGCUUGAAUACAUUAGCAUGGAAUAAUGAAAUAGGACGUUUGAUUCUAUUUUGUUGGUUUCUAGGAUUGACGUAAUGAUUAAUAGGGAUAGUUGGGGGCAUUAGUAUUCAAUUGUCAGAGGUGAAAUUCUUGGAUUUAUUGAAGACUAACUACUGCGAAAGCAUUUGCCAAGGAUGUUUUCAUUAAUCAAGAACGAAAGUUAGGGGAUCGAAGACGAUCAGAUACCGUCGUAGUCUUAACCAUAAACUAUGCCGACUAGGGAUCGGAUGAUGUUAAUUUUUAAUGACCCAUUCGGCGCCUUAA
rnacentral:rRNA from 1 species